ACUUGUUUUGUUGGUUGUCAUCUAACCAUCGUUCGAUCUGCCACCUGGUGCAUGGAUGGAUGCCUGGGUGCAUGGCGAUUACGCCAACACACACACGGUGAUGAUGGUUAGAUGACCAUCAGCAAACAUGUU
rnacentral:pre_miRNA from 1 species